UACGAAGGGGGCUAGCGUUGCUCGGAAUCACUGGGCGUAAAGGGUGCGUAGGCGGGUCUUUUAAGUCAGGGGGUGAAAUCCUGGAGCUCAACUCCAGAACUGCCUUUGAUACUGAAGAUCUUGAGUUCGGGAGAGGUGAGUGGAACUGCGAGUGUAGAGGUGAAAUUCGUAGAUAUUCGCAAGAACACCAGUGGCGAAGGCGGCUCACUGGCCCGAUACUGACGCUGAGGCACGAAAGCGUGGGGGAGCAAACAGGG
rnacentral:rRNA from 1 species